rnacentral:rRNA from 1 species
GUAGCGGCGAGCGAAGCGGGAAGAGCUCAAAUUUAUAAUCUGGCACCUUCGGUGUCCGAGUUGUAAUCUCUAGAAAUGUUUUCCGCGUUGGACCGCACACAAGUCUGUUGGAAUACAGCGGCAUAGUGGUGAGACCCCCGUAUAUGGUGCGGACGCCCAGCGCUUUGUGAUACAUUUUCGAAGAGUCGAGUUGUUUGGGAAUGCAGCUCAAAUUGGGUGGUAAAUUCCAUCUAAAGCUAAAUAUUGGCGAGAGACCGAUAGCGAACAAGUACCGUGAGGGAAAGAUGAAAAGCACUUUGGAAAGAGAGUUAACAGUACGUGAAAUUGUUGGAAGGGAAACGCUUGAAGUCAGACUUGCUUGCCGAGCAAUCGGUUUGCAGGCCAGCAUCAGUUUUCCGGGAUGGAUAAUGGUAGAGAGAAGGUAGCAGUUUCGGCUGUGUUAUAGCUCUCUGCUGGAUACAUCUUGGGGGACUGAGGAACGCAGUGUGCCUUUUGGCGGGGGUUUCGACCUCUUCACACUUAGGAUGCUGGUGGAAUGGCUUUAAACGAC